AUUCUUACCUGGUGCCGGGGUCUCAUUGAUCACCGAGUAUUGAGCGCCCAGGGUGAGGCACGGGCAUUGCACUGUGCUCGCGAUGACCCCUGCCGCUACCCCAAACUGGGGCAGAUGGGGCAUGCAAAUUGCUUAAAUCCGGUUCAACACCAGA
rnacentral:snRNA from 1 species